AUGCAAUUCCUCUUUAAACCCCCAGUAAAAAGCUGGCCACUUCACACUGGGCUGGGCACUGUUCCAGAAUCCUCAUGUAACGUCACAGUACUUGCCAAGCAUUCUGAGGGCAUAAUCCCGGUUGCAACCAGUCAACAGCAUCUGCUGCUUCUUGGCACAGAGGGAAAGAAGAUUAUGGAUAAAAUCUGAGAACAGAAGCCAGAUUGACUGCUUACAUUGGAUGUUUAAGCCAAAUACUGAAUGCCCCAUUCAAAAGCUGACAUAUAACUUGGUGCAUUUCUCUUGGAGGGAUGUUCUAACUGUCAGUGGAACGUCAACAAUAAAAGCAGCAGAUGGGAUCA
rnacentral:lncRNA from 1 species